rnacentral:rRNA from 1 species
GAUGAACGCUGGCGGCGUGCCUAACACAUGCAAGUCGAACGAAGCAUCUUACCUGAUUCUUCGGAUGAAAGUUUGGUGACUGAGUGGCGGACGGGUGAGUAACGCGUGGGUAACCUGCCCUGUACAGGGGGAUAACAGCUGGAAACGGCUGCUAAUACCGCAUAAGCGCACGAGGAGACAUCUCCUUGUGUGAAAAACUCCGGUGGUACAGGAUGGGCCCACGUCUGAUUAGCUGGUUGGCAGGGUAACGGCCUACCAAGGCAACGAUCAGUAGCCGGUCUGAGAGGAUGAACGGCCACAUUGGAACUGAGACACGGUCCAAACUCCUACGGGAGGCAGCAGUGGGGAAUAUUGCACAAUGGGGGAAACCCUGAUGCAGCAACGCCGCGUGAGUGAAGAAGUAUUUCGGUAUGUAAAGCUCUAUCAGCAGGGAAGAUAAUGACGGUACCUGACUAAGAAGCUCCGGCUAAAUACGUGCCAGCAGCCGCGGUAAUACGUAUGGAGCAAGCGUUAUCCGGAUUUACUGGGUGUAAAGGGUGCGUAGGUGGCAGUGCAAGUCAGAUGUGAAAGGCCGGGGCUCAACCCCGGAGCUGCAUUUGAAACUGCUCGGCUAGAGUACAGGAGAGGCAGGCGGAAUUCCUAGUGUAGCGGUGAAAUGCGUAGAUAUUAGGAGGAACACCAGUGGCGAAGGCGGCCUGCUGGACUGUUACUGACACUGAGGCACGAAAGCGUGGGGAGCAAACAGGAUUAGAUACCCUGGUAGUCCACGCCGUAAACGAUGA